CUCUCCUCUCUUGUAUUUCUCUCUUUUUUCUCUUCACAAUUUCUCUUUCUUUCUCUCUCUCUCUUUAGGUUCCGUUUCCAUCGACUUCGAAAUCAAAGAGCUCAAGCUUUCUCGGUUCAUUUUUUUUCUUUUUCUUUCUCUCUUUUUUUAAAAAAAGAUUCUCCGCUCUUCAAACGGUGCCUUUUUUUGGUUUGUUGUUGUUUCAAUCUUCGUUUUUUUUUUUUUUUAAUGUGGAUUUGGUAAUGUUGGUAACCUUUAUCGUGUUUGGUUGAUGAGAAAUGUGAGGAGAGGAAAAGAAAAUUAAAUUUGAAUUUUUAAGAAAUUUUAAAAGCUUAAUUCGAUUUGUAUUUUCAAGAUAUUUGUUUGAGAGAGACUUUAAAAAUUAAGAUUUGGAUUUUUUUAUGUUUCUACAUUUUCUCAGCCGCCAAACAAGGGAUUAAUCCGAUAAAUCAAUUCUGAUUACUGUUUUUGUGCGUGUUUGGUGGAGGUGGUUGUUAAUAGUUUGCAGAAUUCUUUAAUUCUAUUUGUCUCCUUGUUUUGUCACGGUGAAACGUGACAGUGAGGAAAUUGAAUUUCAAGAGUCUUACAAUUUGUUUAUGGAAAUAAAUUAGAAAAAAACUGAGAUUCUUAGUAGUUGUUGCAGAGUUCUUGAAGAUUUAGCGUGUUUUAUUACCGUCAUCCUGUGUGUUUGCUCUGAAGAUUGAUAAUGCUGAUGACCAUGAUGGCCUUGCUAAUGCCGGUAAAUGAUGAUGAAGAGGGGAUUUACGAGUUUUAGGUGUGAUUGAUUUUUUGAAAGGGGGUUUUCUGCUACAUAGUAUAUAUAUUAUAUAUUUUUUGUAAAUAAAUGCGGAUUUCCAUGCAUUCAAGCAGAUGGGUUUAAAGGGUUUGAUAGUAUAGAUUUUGGGGUAAUAUGGCUAUUGCUGGUCUACACAAUGUUUCUAUGCUUGAAAAUCCUUUCCUAAGGGAGUCUCAGUCUCAAGCAUCAAGAAGGCGGGACAAUGGUAACACCCGGGCAUCCUCACUCCUGCAAAUGUGGCGGGGGCUUGAGGACGAGCAUGUGGUGAGUCAUGCUCAAGAGAGAGCUAGUGAAAGAAUGCUCCAACAAAGAAGUGAUGACCUCUCUAUGAAUGAUCUUUCUGAUAGCCGAAAUAGUGAACAUAGCGGUGUUUCAGAGGAUGUGAGUGUGAGUGAGAAUGUGAUUGGACAAUGGUCCCCAGGCCGAUUUGGGUCGCAAAGCGAAAAUGAGGAUUCAAGUAAUUUUAGUUAUGAGCAUUUGUCUUAUUUGGGGGAAGUUGAAAGGGAAAGAGUAAGGCAAAUUUUUCGGGGGUGGAAGAACAGUGGUGGCAGGGAACGUACAUCCAAUGUUUCCUGUAGAAACAACAGUUCCAGAGCCCAGUGGCUUGGUGAAACUGAACAGGAGAGAGUCAGAAUUAUAAGGAAGUGGGUGCAAAUGAAUAGCCAGCAGAGAGGUGCUUCUGGUGACAAUAGAAUAGAUCAAGCUGCUGAUGUUGGUGGUCAAAUUGAACGAGUUCUCGAUGGAUUGGUGGUUAACCAGAAUGAAGGCCAGACUGCGCUUGUGCAUAGGGGCAUCCGGAAAUUAUGUGGCCGACAGGUCCUGCUUGAUAUGCUUAAAAAGGCCGAGAGAGAAAGGCAAACAGAGCUUCAGGGGUUGUUAGAGCAUCAGGCUGUAUCAAAUUUUGCCCACCGCAACCGCAUUCAGUCAUUAUUGAGAGGUAGAUUCUUGAGAAAUGACAGAAUGGUUGAAGGUGACAGAUCUACCUCUAUUGCAGCCAGUGAAUUAGGCAUAUUAAGACAAAAACAGACUGUAUCUGGUAUAAGGGAAGGCUUUUUCUCCAGACUGGAUAAUUCUGGUUGUGGUACUGCAAGCAGUAACUGUUCUGAUACAUUGUCUAACGCUGACACUAAUGGUAAUAGAAAUGAACAAAACCAAGUAAAUAAUUUACAUGAAGUCAUAGAUGGAUUAAAUGAUCGAUCUGAAUGUGAGAACGAGGAAACUGAUAACCAAAGGUUUUUGGAUGGUAGAACUGAUUUAGAGGCUGAUGAUGUUGGAGACGUAAGUUGGCAAGAAAUUUCUGCUUGUAUAGAAGAUUGGCAGGGACAAGCUUCUGAGAGUGUGGUUAGAGACUGGCAGUGGUCAGCCAGCGUUGAGUCUAAUGAGAGCAGAGAUGUUAUUGGACAAGUCUUGGAUGGGGACUGGCAAGAAAAUCUUGCUAAUGACUUGUCCCUUGAAACUUUACAGAAUGAAGCUGGAGAACAUAGUAAUCUACAAGAAGCUGGUGAAGCAUUUUAUGAACAUUCUCCCCUAGAUGGUGAGAGAAGUGGGACCUAUGGGUUAAUGAAUGUCAUAGAAAAUUCAGACAGGAAUCCAGUUGAAUAUAUUGAUGGGCAAGAAUCUGCUUCUCAAGUUGAACAAUGGCAGGAAGAGGAUCAGGAAAAUGAGGAUACAGACUGGCAGGAAGCCAGUGUUGAGUAUAACGAGAUGAUGGAUGGUGGCAAUGAAGAAACCUCUGACAUGCACCAUGAGGAUGGUGGGAAUGAAGAUGGAGGUUAUGGUCAUCUGCGAGAAGCCCUUGACACGCAAGAUGAGGAUGGUGGCUUGCACGAGACUACACGGAAUUGGUUGGAAGGGUCUUACAAUCGAGAACCUGUUAUGAUUGGAAGGCCAGACACAUUUUAUUUUCCUGAGAAUGAUAAUGUACACAGUACAGAACUGAGGGAACUGUUAAGCAGGAGAAGUGUGUCUACUCUUCUUAAUAGUGGUUUCCGUGAGAGUCUUGACCAGUUGGUACAGUCAUAUGUGGAAAGGCAGAAUCAUGCGGCUAUUGACUGGGAGCUAAAUGAAACAUCUCUUACUCCAUCACUUGAACAAGAUCUAGAUCAGCGAAGCAGAGAUCAGAAUGAGGGUCAGGGAGAUGCUGAGAAUCCUCCAGUUGCUCUUCCUUCACCCAGGAUGCCACCUACGCAGCUACUUUGGGACCAGGAUUUACUCCAUUAUAGUUGGGCACCACAUAAUGUGCAUCAACAAUUUGGCAUUCAGUGGGAGAUCAUUAAUGAUUUGAGGGUUGACAUGGCUAGACUGCAGCAAAGGAUGAAUAGCAUGCAGAGGAUGCUGGAGGCCUGCAUGGAUAUGCAACUUGAGUUACAGCGGUCGAUAAGACAAGAAGUUUCUGCAGCCCUGAACCAUUCAGAUGGUUCACAAGGGAUGAUCGAUGACUGCUUGCCUAAGGGUGCGACUAACUGGGAUAACGUCAGGAAAGGAAUCUGUUGUAUAUGCUGUGAAGGCAAUAUUGAUUCAUUAUUGUACAGAUGUGGGCACAUGUGCAUUUGCUCCAAAUGUGCCAAUGAUUUGGUCCAAGGUGGAGGAAAGUGUCCAAUGUGUCGGGCACCAGUAAUUGAGGUCAUUCGUGCUUACUCAAUCCUUUAACAGAAAAAUCUGGAUUAACAAUUAUAGGAUCUUUCAUCAGCUUUUUUGCUCCUCGAUAGUUCCAGGUGAUGAAGAAUCCUGGCUUUACUGAUAUUUUGCAUGACUGCUAGAUUCACCAUUGUCACUUUUUUUUGGCCCAAAGUGUGCUUCUGGUUUUGUUGAUGACAUUUUCAUCUGGCAAUCAUUGUACAAAGUCCAAAAGAUCACUCAACUUUGUUCUGAUUUUUGGCUCAAUACAAACCAUGUGCAUCAAAGUCCUUUCAUGAGUUGUCGGUUUCAAUCGGUGUUUUAAAGUGCCACCGCUUAUGGUUUCGCCAAGCUAGUUAUUUCCUCUUUCUCUAGUAUAGAAGAAACUAAAAUUAAGAAUAAUUAAAGUGGAUAAGUUCAAAGAUUUUGGUUUCUUUUUAUUCUUCAAGAUUCUCUAAAAUGCAAUGCAAAAUCACUUUCUCCACUCGACGAGAGAUAUGGGAUGGUGGAUCUUCAGAGAAACGCCGAAUAUAGAUAGAGAAAAAGCCCAUGAGAAAGGAGAGCUUUGAGGAGAACAACUAUGGUAAGAGGCAUGGAGGAGUCAAAAGAAAAAUUUUUAUUUUUUUCUCACAUGAAGUGAAAUACAACAAAAAAGGCUGAAUUUUGAUAUUAUAUAUUUGUACAUAGAAGUUUAAAUAUACUAAACAGGUGAAAAAGAUGCUAAACUCAAAAAAGU